AACAUUCUUUUCUCGUUAAAUAUAUAAGAAGAGCUCCCUUCACAUUACCAUUUGGCACAGAGGAGGUCCAGUUUUAUUCUCUCUUGUUGCACAGUCUACAUGUUGUGUCAAGUUGGUCGUCAACGAGAGCAAAGAACGUGACUGGUCUCCACUGACCAGUAAGAGGGCGGCGGGGUGCUGAAAUUGUAACUCUCGUUGGCUGCAAGCUGAAGUUUGAAUCUAAACAAACAACUGCACCUUUCUGUCAGCUGUUAGUUUUUCCGCUGUAGAGUAACACACGUACUGAAGGUAUGGUUCAAAUCUUAUGUCUCAUUUUUUAUUUUUAUUUUUUAUAUAUAUGCACUUAAUCGCAUCCAGCUAAGCAAAUUAUAUCCCAUGAAACAAAUAAUCGCAUUUUCGGUUACAAGUGAAGAAAGGCAACCCUCUGCCGUUCGAUUUUGUGUCAUUUUUGCACGAGCAAUAAUAUAUCAAAACCAUAAUGUUGUGUUUCGUAAUAACACCCUCAGCUGAACCAAAACAAACCGAAUUCUCUGGGGCAAAAGGGGUGAAACAAAUGGAACAAAUUAACACAUUUUCGGUUACAAGGACAGAAACCCAAGCCUUUUGUGUUCCAUUUUGUCUUGGCAUAACAAGCGAGAACAUAUUAAUACCAGAAUGCACAGUAUUUCUUUGCAAUAACAUCCUCACUUGAACCAAAACAAACUUUUCAGGGGGAUAGAAUUUGAACCAAUGUGGUUAUAGGACCAUUUUCUACAGGCACCUGAAUGCAUCCAAUGAAACAAAUCAUAUCAAGUCACUGCGUUUGUUAAUAUAUAGUGCAAAAGGGCACAGUAAGGACAUUUUAAAAAAUGGCUGAAUUUCACACCAGUGCAAUCUGGACCUUUAAAAAUAGCCCCCAUUAACUGUUUGUGAGCGCCUGGUUGCAGUGCGUAGUCAGCGUGGCACCCAGCAUGUAUAUGCCGACAAUAGGAGUGUGUGUGUGUGUGUGUGUGCGUGUGUGUUGCUGUGGGGAGUAGUACACAGUGUUCAGUUGUGCUUUCUGAGAAACACCACGGCUCAACCUGAUGCUCCAGUCAAUGAGAGCCCUCGUCACCAUAUAAGGAGCCACUAUGGCUGCCAGCACGUGUCGCAACGAGCCAAUCGGAGGGGCCCUAACUCAGACUUCAAAGGCGAGUGGCAAGAAGAUCACACCGAUGUGGCCGAAGACGACUGAAGCGGAACAUCGCGAACAGUUGACGACUCUUCGGCGCACACCAAGCGAUUAAGCGUCGCACAUCUAUGGGUGCCCUGCCGUGGACAAACUGUUCACUGGCAAUUCAAAUCCGUGGCUGCCGGUUGGCCACACAUGAAAACUAGUUGCCGAAGGUCGCGCACUGGUUUCGGCCGUGUUGCUCGGUGUCAUUAAUGUGACAUGGGACUUGCUUGAGACUAUAAGGUUUAAACUUGAUGGUUUGUGUUCUUUCCGACAUGACGUCACCAACUAGUGGCCUGGCAUGCACAUUACAGUUCUGAAUGUGAAUGGUGAGCGUGUUGUCGUCCUUAUGUGAAACAUCAAAAAACACACAAAAAAACUGUUAGCAGCGAGAUUGUCAACAACAUCAAAACACAAGUGUGAGAUUAAAGGGUAAACCAAAUCCAGUAAGUAAGCGUAUUUUUGCCCCAUUUGUUUGUUUCAACAUGUUGUUGUCCAUCUGUUGACCGGAUUAUACCACAAACAUAGCCGGAUCAUUCUCACCACACGUGUUUGGAUGAUACUUGUGUUCAUUUAUAUUGGCGGAUGUCUAAUAAAUAAUGUUAGAAGUCGACUAUCAAGUGUUUGGCAAUCGGCUGAGAGCGAGUGGAGACUUGUGGAGUGAGUCAAGAGGCAAAACUAUAAAGGAGCACACAAAACCAAUUUUGCUUGCUCAAUUGCAGGUCACAGGAUAUGAUGUCACGCAAAAGCGGCUGCAGCUGGAUGCUGUUUUAUUGUCACAUACUCUCCCAACUGUAAUGUUUUUUGUUUGCUUUCAUUCCCAUAAAACAAUAGGCGAGGAUGUGUGAGAAAUGAGCACAAGCAACGUCAACGGAACGAUUACGAUCCACUACGGAGACGUGCCCUCCGAGCAGAGGAAUGUACCGGAAGGGGAGAAGAAAAGCCUGUUUGUUGCCAUCACGCCUUGCCCCGUUCAGAAAGAGGCAUGAGUCAUCGCUUAAAAUGCGUCCGACGUUCGGUUUUAAAGAGGAAGUGAAGCUGGCCUGUUGAGAAGUAUGGGGGCACGCGCUUCCUCAUUCUGUUUGUUUGUUUGUUUGGGAGAGAAACACAUAAGGCGAUGGCCAAUGAAUGAUUCUCCACAUUGUUAACCAGAGAGGUGGCUUAUAAAAAUGAUUCAUGUACAUUAUAAACUGAUAAAGUUUUUUUUUACCACCUGGA